UGCCUAAUACAUGCAAGUCGAACGCUGUUGGCCCAACUGAUUGAACGUGCUUGCACGGACUUGACGUUGGUUUACCAGCGAGUGGCGGACGGGUGAGUAACACGUAGGUAACCUGCCCCAAAGCGGGGGAUAACAUUUGGAAACAGAUGCUAAUACCGCAUAACAAUUUGAAUCGCAUGAUUCAAAUUUAAAAGAUGGUUUCGGCUAUCACUUUGGGAUGGACCUGCGGCGCAUUAGCUUGUUGGUAGGGUAACGGCCUACCAAGGCUGUGAUGCGUAGCCGAGUUGAGAGACUGAUCGGCCACAAUGGAACUGAGACACGGUCCAUACUCCUACGGGAGGCAGCAGUAGGGAAUCUUCCACAAUGGGCGCAAGCCUGAUGGAGCAACACCGCGUGAGUGAAGAAGGGUUUCGGCUCGUAAAGCUCUGUUGUUAGAGAAGAACGUGCGUGAGAGCAACUGUUCACGCAGUGACGGUAUCUAACCAGAAAGUCACGGCUAACUACGUGCCAGCAGCCGCGGUAAUACGUAGGUGGCAAGCGUUAUCCGGAUUUAUUGGGCGUAAAGCGAGCGCAGGCGGUUUGAUAAGUCUGAUGUGAAAGCCUUGGGCUUAACCAAAGAAGUGCAUCGGAAACUGUCAGACUUGAGUGCAGAAGAGGACAGUGGAACCUCAUGUGUACCGGUGGAAUGCG
rnacentral:rRNA from 2 species